UACGUAGGGGGCGAGCGUUAUCCGGAUUUAUUGGGCGUAAAGGGCGUGUAGGCGGUAGAUUAAGUUGGUUGUAAAAGGCAAUGGCUCAACCAUUGUAAGCGACCAAAACUGGUUUACUUGAGUGCAGAAGAGGAGAGUAGAAUUCCCGGUGUAGCGGUGGAAUGCGUAGAGAUCGGGAGGAAUACCAGUGGCGAAGGCGGCUCUCUGGUCUGGUAACUGACGCUGAGGCGCGAAAGCGUGGGGAGCAACAGG
rnacentral:rRNA from 1 species